AGAGUUUGAUUAUGGCUCAGGAUGAACGCUGGCGGCGUGCCUAAUACAUGCAAGUCGAACGCUUCACUUCGGUGAAGAGUGGCGAACGGGUGAGUAAUACAUAAGUAACCUGGCCUUUACAGGGGGAUAACUAUUGGAAACGAUAGCUAAGACCGCAUAGGUGUCAUAACCGCAUGGAGAUGAUAUGAAAUAUGCUACGGCAUAGGUAGAGGAUGGACUUAUGGCGCAUUAGCUAGUUGGAGGGGUAACGGCCCACCAAGGCGACGAUGCGUAGCCGACCUGAGAGGGUGACCGGCCACACUGGGACUGAGACACGGCCCAGACUCCUACGGGAGGCAGCAGUAGGGAAUUUUCGGCAAUGGGGGCAACCCUGACCGAGCAACGCCGCGUGAGUGAAGAAGGUUUUCGGAUCGUAAAGCUCUGUUGUAAGUCAAGAACGAGUGUGAGAGUGGAAAGUUCACACUGUGACGGUAGCUUACCAGAAAGGGACGGCUAACUACGUGCCAGCAGCCGCGGUAAUACGUAGGUCCCGAGCGUUGUCCGGAUUUAUUGGGCGUAAAGCGAGCGCAGGCGGUUUGAUAAGUCUGAAGUUAAAGGCUGUGGCUCAACCAUAGUUCGCUUUGGAAACUGUCAAACUUGAGUGCAGAAGGGGAGAGUGGAAUUCCAUGUGUAGCGGUG
rnacentral:rRNA from 1 species